GUGGACCGUGUUGUCACGGUUGAGGAGGAUAAUGAGCCCACCCUGGACCAGGAGGACCCAGUCCUUGUUCAGUAUGUGGUUGAGGAGGUUGGGCACCGGCCCUGUCUGGCUUUAAUCCCUUGGUCUGGACCUCUGUGGGUUCCCAGCUCUGUAAGUCCAUCCAUUCUGAUACUCUUUGGUCUUCUCUCUGGUCUUAAAACUGGUUUAUGUACUUUAAACAUAAACAUGACGUUUUCUGAAGAACAAUAUGGAAAUA